CCAUAGUUAAUUCGGAUUCGGCAAAAAUUUGGUACGGGUAUAAUUCGGAUAAAAUUCGUCUCUUAAUUUUUAAAUUUUUUGAAAAAUACGGCUAAAAAACGGAAUCGGCAAUUAUUCGGAUACGUGAUUUAUACGGAUAUUAUACGUUCACCAAUUAAAAAUUCGGGAUCAAAAAUUCGACUAUAUAAUAAAUAUAUAAUAAUUAAUAUACUAUAUUUAUUAUUAUUAUAAUUUUUAUAUAUAGAUUAAAUAUAUUUAAAAUUAUAAUAAAUAUAUAUUAAUAAUAUAGAAGAGUUAUAUUAUAUAUUUAGAAAUAUUAAUA
rnacentral:lncRNA from 1 species